rnacentral:rRNA from 1 species
UACGGGGGGGGCAAGCGUUGUUCGGAAUUACUGGGCGUAAAGGGCUCGUAGGCGGCCAACUAAGUCAGACGUGAAAUCCCUAGGCUCAACCUAGGAACUGCGUCUGAUACUGGAUGGCUUGAAUCCGGGAGAGGGAUGCAGAAUUCCAGGUAUAGCGGUGAAAUGCGUAGAUAUCUGGAGGAAUACCGGUGGCGAAGGCGGCAUCCUGGACCGGCAUUGACGCUGAGGAGCGAAAGCUAGGGGAGCAAACGGG